rnacentral:lncRNA from 1 species
AGGAAGUAGAGGGAAUGUUCUGUGACAAGUAUAUGUGGGGGUGGGAAGUUUACAACUGAAUGGGAUCCCAGAGGACGCACUGGAAAGGCUGGCAGAAAGCAAAGCAGUGGGAGGAUGAGUCAGGCGCUAAAAUGCACAAAACAACAUGGGAAUAAGAGUACAUGAGAGGAUGCGGGUUCAGAUGGCUUGCAUUGUUGGUGCUGGCCAGGUAUCACAGGGAUGAGAAGAAGGAAACUAAUUGGGCUCAUGGUUCCAAACAGAACUUUGGCAAGGGGAUCUCUCUCUGCAGAACUCCAGGUACUAUUGAAGCCUCUGCAGCCAGUUCCCAGUCCUAUUGUCAUUUAUCUGACUCAUGCUUGCCUACAACACACAUCAUUUCCACCCUUAAAAUGGUCAGAUGUUCCAAAACAGCCCUGUAUACAUAAUCUAUGAGUUUUGAAGUUGAGUUUCUAGGGUUAAUUCCUCUCAAAGCAUUUGAGAUCCUCUAGGCCUAUACUGAUUAAUAGGUUCAUCAAAGGAC